UUGAGUCUCGUAGAGGGGGGUAGAAUUCCAGGUGUAGCGGUGAAAUGCGUAGAGAUCUGGAGGAAUACCGGUGGCGAAGGCGGCCCCCUGGACGAAGACUGACGCUCAGGUGCGAAAGCGUGGGGAGCAAACAGGAUUAGAUACCCUGGUAGUCCACGCCGUAAACGAUGUCGACUUGGAGGUUGUGCCCUUGAGGCGUGGCUUCCGGAGCUAACGCGUUAAGUCGACCGCCUGGGGAGUACGGCCGCAAGGUUAAAACUCAAAUGAAUUGACGGGGGCCCGCACAAGCGGUGGAGCAUGUGGUUUAAUUCGAUGCAACGCGAAGAACCUUACCUGGUCUUGACAUCCACGGAAGUUUUCAGAGAUGAGAAUGUGCCUUCGGGAACCGUGAGACAGGUGCUGCAUGGCUGUCGUCAGCUCGUGUUGUGAAAUGUUGGGUUAAGUCCCGCAACGAGCGCAACCCUUAUCCUUUGUUGCCAGCGGUCCGGCCGGGAACUCAAAGGAGACUGCCAGUGAUAAACU
rnacentral:rRNA from 1 species